rnacentral:lncRNA from 1 species
CUAUGGCAUCCUUGGAUUCUAGGCUUCUCUUAGCCACAAACUGGCUGUCGCCCUGGGAAACCCACAUCUUUCCUCUGGACUUCUGUUCCCAACCAUAAGAGAAGAGGGUAUGCACACUCUGCCACAAACAUAGCUCAGCCAUUGUUACAGUCCAGAAGGUAACCUUCACUCUUGUUGAGGCGUUAUGUCUGCAGGGGGCUGGAGCCACCGCACAUGGGAGCCUGGAAGCAUCCCACCCACCUUCACCUCCUGCUCACCAUAAAUCCUCAUUAUCAUGUUGUCAGCACUGGAGUGUGUUAACCUCUUCAGUGACCAGGCUGUCAGGCUUGAAGCUGGAUUUGGUACCCGAGCACUAAUUUGCCAACCACUACUAGAUCAGCAUUAUGAAGUGCAUGAGGAAGCCGGCCAUACUGCAUGCCAACUCUCUGGUUUCAUGACUCAUUAUUUCAAAGGAUAAAGCAAAAGGAGAAAAAGUUGUGCUAUUGACAUGUCCUCACCACUUGGAAGACUUUCACAGAAUAAUAAACCUUAUCAUCAUCUCCUUCUUGACAUAAAUGGCCAAUUUUCAAAGCCCAUCAAUCAGUGUGACCUUUUGUGCAUUGGCAAACUUCUGUACACACUGCAACUUCAUUUUUAGCCCAGAAAGGAUAAUGUUUAACAACUCUUUCCUGUAUAAGCAAAUUGAGCAACUCCAAGUCAAUGACUUCUGAAUAAUUGGAGCAGGGUUCCUGUGUUUUCAUAACUGACCCAUGAUAAAUUCAACAGGAACGGUCACAUAAAUAGCAGACCCCUUGCACUAAGGAUGUUAGGAGUGAGAGCUCUCACUGAAAAUUUGACCAUAUUAUGCAAUUUUUUAACCUACUGAAUGAAUAAUUCCAUGACACAGGCAAACAAUGCUAUUUCUGAAAAAUGCUUCAGAGAACUCUUAAAUCUCUAAUAAAUUUUAAGCUCUUUUUAAAAUCAAUUUUCAUUAUUUUUAUUAGAAAAGUUAAUUUCCCCACUUUAUAUAUUUAAAUAAAAAUGGAAAUAAGAAAUACUAGUUAAAAGGAUUUUUUUUUUCUGAUAAAAUUGGCAAGAAAAGUUCAACUUUCCUAUCAACAAUAUCAAGUGUUGGUAAGAUCAUGGGAAAUGGACAUUUCCUAGGCUGCUGGUGGGAACUUGAGUGAUAUUACUACUUAGAAGGGAAUUGGGCAAUAUAUAUAAACAUUAAAAACUGUUCUAUAAUCUAGAAUCCAUUUCUAGUUAUGGGUUUAGA